rnacentral:rRNA from 1 species
GAAAUGCGAUAAGUAAUGUGAAUUGCAGAAUUCAGUGAAUCAUCGAAUCUUUGAACGCACCUUGCGCUCCUUGGUAUUCCUUGGAGCAUGCCUGUUUGAGUAUCAUGAAAUAUUCAAAGUAAAAUCUUUUGUUAACUCAAUUGGUUAUGCUUUGGUCUUGGAGGUUUUUUGCAGGUUCACACCUGCUCCUCUUUGUGAAUUAGCUGGAUCUCAGUGUUAUGCUUGGUUCCACUCGGCGUGAUAAGUUAUCUAUCGCUGAGGACACCGUAAAAAGUGGCCAAGGUAAAUGCAGAUGAACCGCUUCCAAUAGUCCAUUGACUUGGACAAUGCAAUUUAUGAUCUGAUCUCAAAUCAGGUAGGACUACCCGCUGAACUUAAGCAUAUCAAUAAGCGGAGGAAAAGAAACU